rnacentral:rRNA from 1 species
AGUGAACGCUGGCGGUAGGCCUAACACAUGCAAGUCGAACGGCAGCACAGUAAGAGCUUGCUCUUACGGGUGGCGAGUGGCGGACGGGUGAGGAAUACAUCGGAAUCUACUUUUUCGUGGGGGAUAACGUAGGGAAACUUACGCUAAUACCGCAUACGACCUACGGGUGAAAGCAGGGGAUCUUCGGACCUUGCGCGAUUGAAUGAGCCGAUGUCGGAUUAGCUAGUUGGCGGGGUAAAGGCCCACCAAGGCGACGAUCCGUAGCUGGUCUGAGAGGAUGGACCAGCAAAACUGGAAUGGAGAACGGUCCCAGAUCCUUAGGGGAGGCAGAGGUGGGAAUAAUGGGAAAAGGGGCGAAAGCUUGUUCAAGCAAAACGGGGUGGGUGAAGAGGGCUUCCGGGUUGUAAAGCCUUUUUGUGGGGAAAAAAAAGAAGCAGGUUAAUACCCCGCUGUUCUGACGGUACCAAAAGAAUAAGCACCGGCUAACUUCGU